rnacentral:rRNA from 1 species
CGACCGCGACCCCAGGUCAGGCGGGACUACCCGCUGAGUG